UACGGAGGGUGCGAGCGUUGUCCGGAAUCACUGGGCGUAAAGGGCGCGUAGGCGGCCUGAUAAGUAGGGGGUGAAAUCCUGCGGCUUAACCGCAGGGCUGCCUUCUAGAUUGUCAGGCUAGAGCACAGUAGAGGCAGGUGGAAUUCCCGGUGUAGCGGUGGAAUGCGUAGAGGUCGGGAAGAACAUCAGUGGCGAAGGCGGCCUGCUGGGCUGUUGCUGACGCUGAGGCGCGACAGCGUGGGGAGCAAACAGG
rnacentral:rRNA from 1 species